rnacentral:tRNA from 1 species
GGUUCUAUGGUGUAAUGGUUAGCACUCUGAACUCUGAAUCCAGCGAACCGAGUUCAAAUCUCGGUAGGACCU